GAAAGAAACACACAGACUCUAAGUGAUUUUUUUUUUCCUGAUUAAAGUCGCUAGUUAUGCGGACAGGGUGGCUGUUGAAUCUGUUAAAAAUACCCUCCUCUGUCCUAGUGCCCUAUUUGCCCAGCCAUAUAUGGACACACUGACACUGGGGUUCAGCGUUUGGCAGCUCGAAAGCAGUCGUCGCCCAUCACGCAUGCGCACCAGCGACGCUGCGCUCAUUCAUGAUGACCGACAACAGAAAAGAUACAUUUUAAUAAUGUUCCCAGCGCCCUCGCACUAACAUGCCACAAAUCUGUCACAACAGCACCUGUCAGCCCCCAAAUCAUGCGUUAUACGCGCACAGAUGCUCACGCUGCAACAUCGCAUAACGCCGAUAGCCGAUGUCGAUCACAUAUUGCGCAGAACAAACACGCACGAUUAGCCGUCUCUAGGUGACGGUGAGUGUUUAUAACAGCGUGCGCGUGAAUCUGUAAUGAUCAGAAACACACCGCGCGUCUGUCGACCGCACGCAUCCACCAUCGGCCGUCCGUCUGUCUUUGUCUUGACCAGAUAGGCACAAAAUGAGCAAAGUGCGACUGCUGUACAUCACAACAACAUUAGAAGAUGAGGAGCAGGACAUUGACGAGGAGGCACUAGGACAGUUCUACAGGUGAAGAGUACCUUCAAAAAUAAGCACUUGCAGAAAAGCGCAGCAUUACAUUUCCAUUAUGUCAGCAUUGGGAAGCUGAAAUCACAAUAAAGACGUAAAGCAAUUUUUACGUGAAAAAAAAG